CUUAAAUAGUUUAUUUAGAAUUGUAAUUUGUGAUAUUACAGGUGUAUAAUUUUACUUUAAGUC
rnacentral:tRNA from 1 species